GAUGAACGCUGGCGGCGUGCCUAAUACAUGCAAGUCGAGCGAACGGACGAGAAGCUUGCUUCUCUGAUGUUAGCGGCGGACGGGUGAGUAACACGUGGAUAACCUACCUAUAAGACUGGGAUAACUUCGGGAAACCGGAGCUAAUACCGGAUAAUAUUUUGAACCGCAUGGUUCAAAAGUGAAAGACGGUCUUGCUGUCACUUAUAGAUGGAUCCGCGCUGCAUUAGCUAGUUGGUAAGGUAACGGCUUACCAAGGCAACGAUGCAUAGCCGACCUGAGAGGGUGAUCGGCCACACUGGAACUGAGACACGGUCCAGACUCCUACGGGAGGCAGCAGUAGGGAAUAUUCCGCAAUGGGCGAAAGCCUGACGGAGCAACGCCGCGUGAGUGAUGAAGGUCUUCGGAUCGUAAAACUCUGUUGUUAGGGAAGAACAUAUGCGGGAGUAACUGUGCACGUCUUGACGGUACCUAAACAGAAAGCCACGGCUAACUACGUG
rnacentral:rRNA from 1 species